ACGAACGCUGGCGGCAUGCUUAACACAUGCAAGUCGCACGGAAAGGCCCUGCUUUUGUGGGGUGCUCGAGUGGCGAACGGGUGAGUAACACGUGAGUAACCUGCCCUUGACUUUGGGAUAACUUCAGGAAACUGGGGCUAAUACCGGAUAGGAGCUCCUGCUGCAUGGUGGGGGUUGGAAAGUUUCGGCGGUUGGGGAUGGACUCGCGGCUUAUCAGCUUGUUGGUGGGGUAGUGGCUUACCAAGGCUUUGACGGGUAGCCGGCCUGAGAGGGUGACCGGCCACAUGGGGACUGAGAUACGGCCCAGACUCCUACGGGAGGCAGCAGUGGGGAAUAUUGCACAAUGGGCGGAAGCCUGAUGCAGCAACGCCGCGUGCGGGAUGACGGCCUUCGGGUUGUAAACCGCUUUCGCCUGUGACGAAGCGUGAGUGACGGUAAUGGGUAAAGAAGCACCGGCUAACUACGUG
rnacentral:rRNA from 1 species